rnacentral:rRNA from 1 species
UUUAUUGGAGAGUUUGAUCCUGGCUCAGGGUGAACGCUGGCGGCGUGCCUAAGACAUGCAAGUCGAGCGGGGCAGGUUUAUGCCUGUCCAGCGGCGGACGGGUGAGUAACGCGUGGGUGACCUACCCGGAAGAGGCGGACAACCUGGGGAAACCCAGGCUAAUCCGCCAUGUGGUCCUGUCCUGUGGGGUAGGACUAAAGGGUGGAUAGCCCGCUUCCGGAUGGGCCCGCGUCCCAUCAGCUAGUUGGUGGGGUAAAGGCCCACCAAGGCGACGACGGGUAGCCGGUCUGAGAGGAUGGCCGGCCACAGGGGCACUG